AUUUUAUCCUUUAAAGGGGAAUAAGAAUGGGCUGGGAGAUCUAUAGUACCAUAUAGAGCCAUAACAUUAAUUCACUGUGCUGCAGCCCCACAUCAGGAAGUGACCAUGUGUGACACUUAGUGCUGGGUGGGUGUUGGAGGAGGAGUAAAAGGCGCCAAAUGGAACACUAGGACUGUGGGAAAUGACACUGUCUGUGACACCUCUGACUCUUACCCCACAUUUACCUCAGCUCAUCUGCAAGGGUGGGGGGCAUCUCUUUUUAAAUUACACAAUGAUUAAUGCACAAGGAAAUGAUAAAUGCAUGUAAUAUGUGCCACCCACAAAUAAAAGUCCCCACAUUUGCAACUCUAUAGCCUAACUUUAUGAGGAACUUCCAAAGCAAAAUCCCUAAAUUGGUAGGUCAGCAAUUAACAUUGCCUCUUGUAGUUACAGCCUUUCAGCACUGAACAGCAGAAGGAAAUGCUCAUGGUUAUUAUUUUCUCCACCCAGAUUAUCCCUGAGAUUCCCCAGAAGAGCAGAAAAGCGGAGAUUUACUUGAACCGACUGAGACAAAUGCACAAUCUUUGCUUAAGCAAUAUGGCUUUCUCCCAAAGGUUGGUAAUUCAGUAAACAGGAUGAAACGUAAAGAAAACAAUGCACUGACAUAGAGAAUUUAGGUCCUUUCUAUGACUUCAGAUUUAAUUCAGAACUAAAGAGCAGACAGGAGAUCAGAGGUGUAUUGAAGAAGUCUUUCAACUGUUCUUUAAACUGAGUGAGGUUUGUUUUUCUCUGCUUGCUGCGAACUCUGGUCCAGACUCCUGGACAGAAAGACAGACUCAGUGUGUUGGCAGGAGGAGCAAGGCAUCCAAGAUUCGGAGCUUUCAGUCACUGGCUCCAAACAAGGGCAGAGGAGUCAAACCAAACAGCUUCCUCUCAGCUCUAUGAAACAGACACAAAGUGUCCAAACUGACCAACCUUCAAGUCCCCGACUGCUGAGCAGACUGACCUCAACCAGGUCUCUUCUUACCAGCCAGUGCUGUGCUGACACUCUGGUUUGGGAUGCAGCAGUGUGCUGCCCUAAAACACCUGAUCCCUUGUCCAUUGAAGAUGUGUGUCAGCAGAAGCAUGUAUUGAUAAUUGACCAUGGGCCUAAACUGUGGAGGAACUAUAUAUAAAACACAGAGUAUAUGGAGUGUAAUGUACUUGAUGAUAAUUUAAUGAUCUAAUUAUUAUUAUUAUGAUUUUCAUGUGUAGAUUGUUGACUUUAUUGUUGAUUUUAGCUGUAUGUACAGUGAUGACCUCAUAUAUCUGUAGGUUUGCUGAAAUCUGAAAUAAAAAAUGACACUAUAAUCAAACUGAAAACCUUUUGUACUGAAAUGAGGGCUGAUGCCUGCAGGAUGAUGAGUAGUUAAAAACAACAUUUUAUUUAUUUAUUUUCAUUAAGACACUUCAGUGUUGGUCUAUGUUUAAAAACAAUC
rnacentral:lncRNA from 1 species